rnacentral:rRNA from 1 species
AACGAACGCUGGCGGCAGGCUUAACACAUGCAAGUCGAACGCCCCGCAAGGGGAGUGGCAGACGGGUGAGUAACGCGUGGGAACAUACCCUUUCCUGCGGAAUAGCUCUGGGAAACUGGAAUUAAUACCGCAUACGCCCUACGGGGGAAAGAUUUAUCGGGGAAGGAUUGGCCCGCGUUGGAUUAGCUAGUUGGUGGGGUAAAGGCCUACCAAGGCGACGAUCCAUAGCUGGUCUGAGAGGAUGAUCAGCCACAUUGGGACUGAGACACGGCCCAAACUCCUACGGGAGGCCGCAGUGGGGAAUAUUGGACAAUGGGCGCAAGCCUGAUCCAGCCAUGCCGCGUGAGUGAUGAAGGCCUUAGGGUUGUAAAGCUCUUUCACCGAUGAAGAUAAUGACGGUAGUCGGAGAAGAAGCCCCGGCUAGCUUCGUGCCAGCCGCCGCGGUAACAC